rnacentral:misc_RNA from 1 species
GAUGAAGAACGCAGCGAAAUGCGAUAAGUAAUGUGAAUUGCAGAAUUCAGUGAAUCAUCGAAUCUUUGAACGCACAUUGCGCCCCCCAGUAUUCUGGCGGGCAUGCCUGUUCGAGCGUCAUUUCAACCAUCAAGCCCUGCUUGUGUUGGGGUCCUGCGGCUGCCCACAGGCCCUGAAAACCAGUGGCGGGCUCGCUAGUCACACCGAGCGCAGUAGCACAUCUCGCUCAGGGCGUGCGGCGGGCUCCAGCCGUUAAAGCACCCACCUUUCGCAAGGUUGACCUCGGAUCAGGUAGGAAUACCCGCUGAACUUAAGCAUAUCAAUAAGCGGAGGA